GUGCUUGCUUCGGCAGCACAUAUACUAAAAUUGGAAUGAUACAGAAAAGAUUAGCAAAGAUGACAUACAAAUUUGUGAAGCAUUGCAUAUUUUG
rnacentral:snRNA from 1 species